AGUUGACAUUCUUCUAACCACCGUCGAGGACCCUGGGCUGUUGGAGGAAGCUUCUCUCUGGCCCGCAGGGUCCCACUGUCUGCAGACGCCACACCAGCGCUCAUUCUCCCCACCCUCUCUGCUCCCACCAGUCAGUGCGUGCUUCCCAGGAGUCACUUGUGUUUGUUCCUGACCCUGUUUAUGGCAGUUUAUGCUUUCCAUUAUAAUACUGUGAUUUCAGGAGUGAGUGCUCAGUAGAUGCAACUCACCAUGACCAUAUUUCCAUCCAGAAAAAAGGCUGGACGCAAACACUGAGGUGGUAUUACAGAUUAGGUGCUUUCAUGGCCCACAUGCUUUACCCUUCCUUGAAGCACCUGCCUUGGCCAUACCUGCAGUUCCUCUCUCUGAAAAGCUGGAGUCUGUUUCCCCAUACCUUCAACCUGAGUGGACUUUGUGACUUGCUUGGGCCAAGAGAAUGCAGCAGAAGUGACAGUGAUCCAGUUCUUAACUUAAGCCUCCAGAAGCCUGAUGUUUCCACUUCCUCUCGCACCUGUGCCAUUGCCAUGAGGAUAUGUCCAGGCGGGCCUGUUGGAGGAUGAGAGACACGUGGAGCAAAGCUGAAUCACUCUGGUUCAGUGAGCUGAGGAUGGGUGGCUCAACCCAUACAGGCUCCUUUUCUCCCUGAUUUCUCUGAACUCACUUCCUCUGUGCCUCCGGUUGUGAUCGAGGUCUUCACUACGGCUCCCAUCCCUGCUGCUGUUGGGAGUACUGCACAUCUGCCCACUGAGCCCGAAAGGGGCUUCGCCCAGGUCUGUUCUGGUUCUUCCUCCCCUUCCUCCACCUCACAGCAUGUAGCUCCGUGGACAUUAGUGAGUUUUGAUUAGCCCUUGUUUGUGG
rnacentral:lncRNA from 1 species